rnacentral:rRNA from 1 species
AUUGAACGCUGGCGGCAGGCCUAACACAUGCAAGUCGAACGAGUGGCGGACGGGUGUGUAAUGUCUGAGAAACUGCCUGAUGGAGGGAGAUAACUAGUGGAAACGGUCGCUAAUAGCGCAUAACCUCGGAUGUGCCCAGAUGGGAUUAGCUAGUAGGUGGGGUAAAGGCAAACCAAGGCGACGAUCCCUAGCUGGUCUGAGAGGAUGACCAGCCACACUGGAACUGAGACACGGUCCAGACUCCUACGGGAGGCAGCAGUGGGGAAUAUUGCACAAUGGGCGCAAGCCUGAUGCAGCCAUGCCGCGUGUAUGAAGAAGGCCUUCGGGUUGUAAAGUACUUUCAGCGGGGAGGCGUUACCCGCAGAAGAAGCACCGGCUAACUCCGUGCCAGCAGCCGCGGUAAUUC